rnacentral:rRNA from 1 species
UACGAAGGGGGCUAGCGUUGCUCGGAAUCACUGGGCGUAAAGGGUGCGUAGCGGGUCUUUAAGUCAGGGGUGAAAUCCUGGAGCUCAACUCCAGAACUGCCUUUGAUACUGAGGAUCUUGAGUUCGGGAGAGGUGAGUGGAACUGCGAGUGUAGAGGUGAAAUUCGUAGAUAUUCGCAAGAACACCAGUGGCGAAGGCGGCUCACUGGCCCGAUACUGACGCUGAGGCACGAAAGCGUGGGGAGCAAACAGG